GAGAAGUAAGGGAGAUAUAUAAUUAAAUAACUCUUUAAGGGUACGAAAAUAUUAAAGUUACAAAAAUAAAAAGAAGAAAAACCUUUGGGUAUCGCAAGAAACAGAGGCCAGUGCGUGAAUGUGUUGUUGAUGGCGGUGAUAAAAAGAGAAACCUCGUAGUUGUGCGGUGAAUCAGCGGCAGAAGCGUAGCCUCAGUUGCGCAGUGAUCGAAGCAGAAAACAGAAACCUCAACAAGAAUCAGACAGAAAGUAGUAAGAUGAAUAGACGAAUUAGCAAACAGAGUAAUAUUGUUGUAAGAGACAAUAACAACCCAAAUAUAUAUACGCGCCCGCGGGAAUAAGUGUUCAACGGUAAUAUUUUUGUUCUUAAGUGCUUAUUUUUUGUGUGAGUGGCCGAUCAAAUACUUGGGUUAGCUAUUGACAAUGUUAGCGCGCGGGAAUGUAUUCAUUGAGUGUUCAACGCUAAUAAAUAAUCUUUUGCAUUUAUUAUUUACUGAGUAUAUGUUAUUAUGUCAUUCUUUCACUCACUCUCUUUAUCUCAUCACAUAACGUGUUCCCUUUCUCUUGAUUUCAUUAAUUGGAUUUGUUGAUCCUUUAAUUCCACUAAUUGGCAUCUUAUUUGUUGUCUAUGCUGCAGGAGUAGUUAGUUAUUUGCUUAAUUUCUUAACCUACCAUUCUUUUUAAAUCAGUUUUUCUGAUGUAGUUGUGGCAUUCAGAGACAGUUGGAUCUCAGCAGAAGAUUAUGUGGUGUGUACGUAAUAAGAAUGUUCUGCCAAUAAGUUUAUUUUGUUGAACUUUCAAAUAUUUCAUGUACUUUAUCUAAAUUAUCAGUUCUCAUGGGGUCCUCUCCUUAAAGACCUCACAAGACUUAAUGAUAAUGGACUUCAAAAAUCAAACAAGUAUUUGUAUAGCAGGGAGUUUUGUCAAUUUCAGACAAAAACGAGAUUUGGCAUAGUGGUUGGAGUUUUUAACACGUGAUUAAAAGACGAGUUCCAAGUUGCAGGUGAUGACUAGUACCGUCGGAGAGGCGGAAGUCAUCAUGUCUUGGAGACCCUUAUUAUUAUGCAUUGUGUUGAUGUUAUUUUGAGCAUUUUUAUUUUUGGGAAUUCCCGCUCUGAUAGUGACAUCAGGUUGGGACUACAUUUGCGAUAAGUAUGUGUACUUCAAAAAAGAUUUUGUUGUCUAAUAUUGUGAUUUCAGGUUGUUAAGUUUGAUGGAACCUUUGAAUUUAUUUGACGUGUUUGGGAUUAUGUGAUACUUUUUACCUUAAAAAAAAGAUGUUUGAAAGUUUAUAUUUAUUUAUUUAUUUAGAAAAUAAGGAAAUAAAAAUAAUCUUUUUUUAGGUUUAGGGUGUCACAUCAUCAGAAUUUCAGUCAAUGGUUGCUACCAGGAUGAUUCUUACAUCUUUCCUUGAAAUUAUUUUGUGGUGGAGGGCCUUACUUGGUAUUACUAAAAAAGUGGUUAGAUUCUAGCUUCAAAUAGUAUAACAUUAGCAUAGACAUCUUUGGAACUAAAUCUUACAAUCUACUAAAGUUUAUGUGGAGAAUAGAUAUAAAAUAUAUAUUUAGUUUUAAAAUUUUACUUUUACUCUGAUAUAGAUUACUAAUUUUUCAUUUAGAUCUUUCUCUCUUACAUGCUUGCCCCAUAUAUGUUUUUAGUUUAUAAUUCUUUUAGUUUCCAAACAAGGGGAAAAAGAUUCAUAACAAAACUAAACUAUUGGUGCAGAUCGGGGUCAAGGUUAUUCAAUAUCUUGUAUAAAAUAAACCUUUGUAGAGAGGUCUACUUUUGUUCCUCUGACAUAUUAGUUAAACCUAAUUUUCUUAAACUCUUAGUAUAAUAUGAUUUCUUGUAAAACAUGAUAUAGCAAAAGUUUAUACAAAAUUUGAGGAAGAAGUUAUAUUAUUCGUUUUAUUUCUAGCUUAUGGGUGAUUAAGAUUUUAUCCUGCCCAGUAGUUUAUGUUUGUGCAUUUUAUUGUAUUAGUGAUUGGUUUUCAUCUAUAUUACAUUUACAAUAUUACCUUGGUUUUCAUCGGAAUUGGUUUCCAUCUAUAUUACAUGCAUAAGAGUACAAGUUAUUUUUUCUUGUCAUUAUAUGAUGCACCCACAGUUGCAUAUUGUCCUGAGGCAUUCUUUUUAUAAUAUAUAAUUGUAUCAUAUUUAUAGUACUUGUUGGAAAAACCUUAAUAACGUUGUGCUCAACAAUCCAUGUCAAUUACAUGAUGAAUAGCCAAAGGCGGAAGCG